rnacentral:rRNA from 1 species
AUUCGAUGAUACGCGAGGAACCUUACCUGGGCUUAAAUGUCAGAUGUUAUCUUGUGAAAGCAGGAGUCUCUUCGGAGCAUUUGGCAAGGUGCUGCAUGGCUGUCGUCAGCUCGUGCCGUGAGGUGUUGGGUUAAGUCCCGCGACGAGCGCAACCCCUAUCAUUAGUUGCCAUCAGGUAAAGCUGGGGACUCUAAUGAAACUGCCUACGUAAGUAGAGAGGAAGGCGGGGACGACGUCAAGUCAUCAUGGCCCUUACGCCCAGGGCUACACACGUGCUACAAUGGUAAGUACAAUGAGAUGCCACUUGGUAACAAGGCGCAAACCUCAAAAAGCUUAUCUCAGUUCGGAUUGAGGUCUGCAACUCGACCUCAUGAAGCUGGAUUCGCUAGUAAUCGGAUAUCAGCAAUGAUCCGGUGAAUACGUUCCCGGGCCUUGUACACACCGCNNCGUCAAGCCAUGGAAGCUNGGAGAACCUGAAGUCGAUAACCGCAAG